CCUACGGGAGGCAGCAGUGGGGAAUAUUGCACAAUGGGGGAAACCCUGAUGCAGCGACGCCGCGUGAGUGAAGAAGUAUCUCGGUACGUAAAGCUCUAUCAGCAGGGAAGAAAAUGACGGUACCUGACUAAGAAGCCCCGGCUAACUACGUUCCAGCAGCCGCGGUAAUACGUAGGGGGCAAGCGUUAUCCGGAUUUACUGGGUGUAAGGGGAGCGUAGACGGCAGCACAAGUCUGGAGUGAAAUCCCGGGGCUUAACCCCGGAACUGCUUUGGAAACUGUGCGGCUGGAGUGCAGGAGGGGUAAGCGGAAUGCCUAGUGUAGCGGUGAAAUGCGUAGAUAUUAGGAGGAACACCAGUGGCGAAGGCGGUCUGCUGGACGACAACUGACGGUGAGGCGCGAAAGCGUGGGGAGCAAACAGGAUUAGAUACCCGAGUAGUC
rnacentral:rRNA from 1 species